rnacentral:rRNA from 1 species
GACAGAGGCCCCAAGCGUUAGGCGGAAUCACUGGGCUUAAAGCGUGUGUAGGCGGAUCGUUAAGUGUCUUGUGAAAUCCCACGGCUCACCCGUGGAACUGCUCGGUAUACUGCGAAUCUUGAGCCACUUAGGGGCUACCGGAACAAAUGGUGGAGCGGUGAAAUGCGUAGAUAUCAUUUGGAACGCCAAUGGUGAAAACAGGUAGCUGGGAGUGUGCUGACACUGAGACACGAAAGCCAGGGGAGCGAACGGG